AGGCCAUAACAUUUAAAAUCACCGAAUGCUACUCAUCUGUGAUCCCCACCAUUUUAAAAAUCAAGGUACCUUCCCUUCCAUCUUCCUUUAUCAAUUCACUUCUGUUGCAGAGACGUGGCGAGUGUGGUGAGCAUUCGCCGAUAUCACAAUGGUCAACGGACGAGUACCCACAGUCUGUUCAAAGACUUACGUGACCCCCAGACGUCCCUAUGAAAAGGCACGUUUAGAUCAGGAAUUGAAAAUCAUCGGUGAAUAUGGUUUGAGGUGCAAACGUGAAGUAUGGAGCGUCAAAUACUCCCUCGCCAAGAUCCGUAAAGCCGCCAGAGAACUUCUUACUCUUGAAGAGAAAGACCCCAAACGUCUUUUCGAAGGUAAUGCCCUCCUUCGUAGGUUGGUCCGUAUCGGAGUCCUCGACGAGAACAGGAUGAAGCUCGAUUACGUGUUGGGUUUGAAAAUUGAAGAUUUCUUGGAACGUCGUCUCCAGACCCAGGUAUUCAAGUUGGGAUUGGCAAAGUCCAUCCAUCACGCCAGAGUACUCAUCAGACAGAGACACAUCCGGUAAAUUAUCCCUUUUCGCUAAAUCGUUGGCUUUGUGUAAUUUUCUUGUGGGACCACUUAGUCUCGGUUCAUCCGAGCUAACGCCCCGAAAUAAUUGGUACCUGAGUCGUUGCCAGGUCCAGUGUAAGGAAACAGGUGGUUAACAUCCCAUCCUUCGUGGUCAGGUUGGACUCUCAGAAGCACAUCGACUUCAGCCUCAAAUCGCCCUUCGGUGGUGGUCGUCCUGGACGUGUCAAGAGGAAGAACCUCAGGAAGGGUGCCAGCGGUGCUGCAGCCAAAGAAGAGGAAGAAGAUUAGAAUAGUUAUUGUUGUUUACCUGUUUUGGUAAUAAAAUGAAAAUGUGAAAA